rnacentral:rRNA from 1 species
CCUACGGGAGGCAGCAGUGAGGAAUAUUGGUCAAUGGCCGGAAGGCUGAACCAGCCAUGCCGCGUGAAGGUCAGUGCCCUAUGGGCUUUAAACUUCUUUUGUGCGGGAGCAAUAUUGGUCACGUGUGGCCAGACGAGAGUACCGUACGAAUAAGCAUCGGCUAACUCCGUGCCAGCAGCCGCGGGUAUACGGGGGAUGCAAGCGUUAUCCGGAUUUAAUGGGUUUAAAGGGUGCGUAAGCUGUUAGGUAAGUCAGCGGUGAAAUGCCCCCGCUCAACGGGGUGAAGUGCCAUUGAUACUGCCUGGCUGGAAUGCGGAUGCGGUAGGAGGAAUGUGUGGUGUAGCGGUGAAAUGCAUAGAGAUCACACAGAACACCGAUUGCGAAGGCAUCUCACGAAUCCGCGAUUGACGCUGAGGCACGAAAGCGUGGGGAGCAAACAGGAUUAGAUACCCCUGUAGUC